GCUGCGAUGGGCGAGUGGUUAAGGCGUUGGACUCUCCCCCCCCCGCAGGUUCGAACCCUGUUUGCAGCG
rnacentral:tRNA from 1 species